GCGGGAGUAGCUCAGUUGGUAGAGCGUCAGCCUUCCAAGCUGAAAGUCGCGGGUUCGAGUCUCGUCUCCCGCU
rnacentral:tRNA from 2 species